CACCACUGGGACUGGAGACACUUUGAUCUUAGCCAAAAGGCCGCUGGUCUGGCCUUUUUGGGAACGCUGGAUCGGCGACGACUUAGAUCUAAAACGGUUUGGAAUUUUUUCGCCGAUCGCUCAGGGGUCCUAUUCAUUUGUUGCAGUAGGAGCUCACCUGGAGAAUGGCAAACUUUUGGAAUUUUCACCGAGACAGGCACUGAUAUUAUCAAGAAUCCGUCUUGACCUCCAGUUUGAUGAUGCUCCAAAAUUUUACCCGGAUCGUAUGUAUUAAACUUGAACUAAUUUUCUUCUGCAACCUAUGCUACUCGUCGCCGUUACAUUGAUAUUACCAAGACGCCAUGCUCAUCACGGGGGCAACAUUCGUAACUUAUUUGGGCACGCUGGGUGGAC